CUGUUGGGGACAAGAAGCUUGGGCGUUGGCUGCGGCAGGCGGGAGGAGCUCGCCACGCUGCAUGAAGAAGAGAUGGUGGUCGCCUGUACGGAACUGUUGCUGCCGGCGCUGGCGACGUCCCCGACCUAUUGCUGCCUUCCACAACUCCUUCAUGCUGCUACCGACAACCUCCGGAACCUGCAGCUGCCCAUUGAGGGUGUUCUGGGGCAGGGGAGAAGCCGAGGUGGUGACUUUGCGUCUCGGCAGUGAUGACCAUCCCAACUAACUUGGCCAAGCACUGGCUCCCAUCAUAGCCAAGAUCAUGGCGACGGUCAACGGCGGGUCCUAGUGAAUGUCAUGAGCUCACCAUGCUGCAACCGUGGUGGCGGUGACGCUCAUCCUCGUGGACGACCUCUUAGUUAUUGAAGCAAGGGAGCAUAGGAUGCUGAUGUCUUAAAGGGAGCAUAGGAUGCUGAUGUCUUAUGAGGGAGCAUAGGAUGCUGAUGUCUUAUUCAUGACUAUUGGGUGGCCGUCUUCGACUUUCUAGGUGUUUGCUGUUGCAUGGUUGUGGCCCUCGUCCACCUGACCUGCUGCUGCUGGAUCAGUGAGCAAGCUGAUGCUGCUGCCAUCCACCACUCCAGGGACCUCUACAAGGCUGGCGAGGGCAGCUUCAGCCUCGAAGCCAGGGGCGGCAAGAUCUGCCUCAUCUGCACAGUGCCUCAUUUUGGGAACAAGGCCG